rnacentral:rRNA from 1 species
CAGUCGUACCGGCGGAUAAUCAGCCUUUCGGGUGCUAUUCUGUGGGGCGUGAGGAGCUUAACCGCCUUCAUGUUUUGCAUAUUCGUGCACAUUUGGUGUACUUGUCCGUGUGGUGGAUUAACAUCAAUUUCGGUGGUCAUAAAAUGACUGGAGGAAUGUAGCUUCGAUCUUGUAUUGAAGUGUUAUAGCCUCUUGUCGUACACGGUGCUUGGGAUUGAGGACUGCAGCACGCCUUUUGGUCGGGUUCUCCCACGCCACGUGCUUAGGAUGCUGGC